AAUCCCUCUUCCCAGUAGAGGCUCCGAGGAGGAGGCGAUGCAUAACAAAAAGUAAUGGCCAUCUAUUUGGUUACUGAAGACUCAAGGAUAUAUGUCGUCGUACUACAGAUUAACAUCUUGGGAUAAACGGAGGAAAGCUUUCAAGUCUCAGCCAGUGUUCAAGGGCAUGCCAAAUCCUCAGUAAUGGAGCCCACUGUUGUGAGUACAUCCUCCUUGGCCCCCGAUGAGUUUGACAGGAACGUGCCUCGAAUCUGCGGCGUGUGUGGCGACAAAGCCACCGGCUUUCACUUCAACGCCAUGACCUGCGAGGGCUGCAAAGGAUUUUUCAGGUACACAAACGCGUGCCGCCAA